rnacentral:tRNA from 1 species
GCCUUCGUGAUGGAAUUGGUAGACAUGCUAGUUUUAGGAGCUAGUGCAUUGCAUGCAUGUCGGUUCGAGUCCGACCGAAGGCA